AUUUAUUUUCGUAUUUUCUUCUCUUUUAUUUCCAUCAUUUCUUUCAACAACAAUUUCGCUAAAAGAUAAAUUCGUUUCCUGCUCGAUCUCAUUGCAAACUAAAUUAUCCGAAAGGAUAUCUCGAUCUGUUGUUGUGGCAUUUCUCUCUUCAACGUCCUUUUGUGGAAUGAAAAAUGGUAAUUCUCCCAUUUCGUAAAUAUUCUUGCAAGUUUCACUUUUUCUGUGAGCGUUAUAUACCAUCUUAUAAAAUUCAUGAAAAUUAUAUAGUUUGAGACAACAAUUUUUACAAAUAACUGUCGAUACUGGGUCAUCCUCUUUUGGCUAAAAAAAAAAUAUCAAACCCUAAAAGAUGUUUAAAUAUGUCGUGUGGUGAGUUUCUGUUAAAACACACAUUUUUGUGUUCUUUUAAAGUAUUUGGGCGUUUUUAUGUUGUUGAGUAAUUAAUGCCGUUAUUACAAAUAAUUGAAAUAAAUUAAUUUAAUAAAAAGUUUCGAUAAAUUCAUUGUUGAUGACGGAAAUUUUUGCUAGAAUUUUAUUUGUGAAUUACUUUUAUUUAUGAAUUACUACGUUUUCUAUAUUAUUUUAUUUAGAAAUUUGAACUUAUGGCUGGUGAGCCAAUUAUGUGAUUUGUAUUGUAACUUUUAAUUAUAAGUUUUAAGUCCUUUUGUAAACUCAGGGUUUUUAUUACUAAGUAAUACAUAUUUAUAUUUUGGCCUUUAAGGCUUUGUAUUGCUAUAUUGAAUA